UACGGGGGGGCAAGCGUUGUUCGGAAUUACUGGGCGUAAAGAGCUCGUAGGCGGUGUGUCACGUCGGCCGUGAAAACCUGCAGCUUAACUGUGGGCGUGCGGUCGAUACGGGCAUCACUGGAGUUCGGCAGGGGAGACUGGAAUUCCUGGUGUAGCGGUGAAAUGCGUAGAUAUCAGGAGGAACACCGGUGGCGAAGGCGGGUCUCUGGGCCUGUACUGACGCUGAGGAGCGAAAGCGUGGGGAGCGAACAGG
rnacentral:rRNA from 1 species